GGGUUGUGAGGUUAAGCGACUAAGCGUACACGGUGGAUGCCCUGGCAGUCAGAGGCGAUGAAGGGCGUGCUAAUCUGCGAUAAGCGCCGGUAAGGUGAUAUGAACCGUUAUAACCGGCGAUACCCGAAUGGGGAAACCCAGUGUGAUUCGUCACACUAUCAUUAACUGAAUCCAUAGGUUAAUGAGGCGAACCGGGGGAACUGAAACAUCUAAGUACCCCGAGGAAAAGAAAUCAACCGAGAUUCCCCCAGUAGCGGCGAGCGAACGGGGAGGAGCCCAGAGCCUGAAUCAGCAUGUGUGUUAGUGGAAGCGUCUGGAAAGGCGCGCGAUACAGGGUGACAGCCCCGUACACAAAAGCGCAUGUGCUGUGAGCUCGAUGAGUAGGGCGGGACACGUGGUAUCCUGUCUGAAUAUGGGGGGACCAUCCUCCAAGGCUAAAUACUCCUGACUGACCGAUAGUGAACCAGUACCGUGAGGGAAAGGCGAAAAGAACCCCGGCGAGGGGAGUGAAAAAGAACCUGAAACCGUGUACGUACAAGCAGUGGGAGCCCCACCACUAAGCCAGUGGUGAACUCCACAUACGCAUCCUUUGCUGAGGAUACGGUUAACGGAGCGAAAGCGACGUUCAACCU
rnacentral:rRNA from 1 species